rnacentral:rRNA from 1 species
UACAGAGGGUGCGAGCGUUAAUCGGAGUAACUGGGCGUAAAGGGCACGUAGGCGGUUAGAUUAGUCUGAUGUGAAAGACCUGGGCUUAACCUGGGAUGUGCAUUGGAAACGGUCUAGCUAGAGUAUGGGAGAGGGAAGUGGAAUUUCCGGUGUAGCGGUGAAAUGCGUAGAGAUCGGAAAGUACACUCGUGGCGAAGGCGGCUUUCUGGCCCAAAACUGACGCUGAGGUGCGAAAGCGUGGGGAGCAAACAGG